GUCUAUGGCCUUAUCGCCCUGAACGUGGCCGAUCUUGUUUGAUCUCAGAAUCUAAGCAGGGUCGGGCUUGGUUAGUACCUGGAUGGGAGGAAUUUCUCCCAUGUUUGAGGACCUUCUACUUCAUACC
rnacentral:rRNA from 1 species